ensembl:snoRNA SNORA72 Small nucleolar RNA SNORA72
UCAUAAAUAUUCUUGUUCUGAUUUUGUUCUAUUAGUAGUAUGCAUUUAGUCCCAGAUGAAGUUCUUUCUCUAGGUUUGAUUUUAUAAAUGCUGAGGAUAAAC